rnacentral:sRNA from 1 species
CGCCCCGUCCUAGGGGAGUAGUCUCCCGCGAGCGCCCUGCUCGCCCGGCAUGCGUCAACAUACUUGGCCCUCAGGCCAUGGCGCAUGCGACCCACGGUCCGCGCAGACGGAUCCGGGGUU